rnacentral:rRNA from 1 species
GUUUGAUCCUGGCUCAGGAUAAACGCUGGCGGCGUGCCUGACACAUGCAAGUCGAACGAGCUUUAGCAAUAAAGCAAGUGGCGGAAGGGUGCGUAACACGUAGGUAUCUACCUCGUCGCAGGGAACAACCCAUCGAAAGAUGGGCUAAUACCCAAGAAGAUCGCAAGAUCAGAGUCGAAAGGCGUGGCGAGAGGAACCUGCGGCCCAUCAGCUAGUUGGUGAGGUAACGGCUCACCAGGGCUACGACGGGUAGGGGCUCUGAGAGGACACCCCCCCACACUGGAACUGAAACACGGUCCAGACGCCUACGGGUGGCAGCAGUGAGGAAUAUUGGUCAAUCUGCGAAAGCGGGAACCAGCAACGCCGCGUGAAGGAUGACGGCCCUCGGGUUGUAAACUUCUUUGGAGCGAGACGAGAAAGGACGGUAUCGCUAGAACAAGCAACGGCAAACUACGUGCCAGCAGCCGCGGUAAUACGUAGGUUGCGAGCGUUAUCCGGAUUUACUGGGCGUAAAGCGCUUGUAGGUGGUCUUGUAAGUUGGACGUGAAAUCUCUGGGCUCAACCCAGAGAGGCCGUUCAAUACUGCGAGGCUAGAGUAUAUCAGAGGCAGAUGGAAUUCCAGGUGUAGUGGUGAAAUGCAUAGAUAUCUGGAGGAACACCAGUGGCGAAGGCGGUCUGCUGGGAUAUUACUGACACUGAGAAGCGACAGCUAGGGGAGAGAACAGGAUUAGAAACCCUGGUAUUCCUAGCCGUAAACGAUGGAUGUUAGGCGUUGGCAGAUCAAACCCUGUCUGCGCCGAAGUUAACACGUUAAACAUCCCGCCUGGGAAGUACGAUCGCAAGAUUAAAACUCAAAGGAAUUGACGGGGACCCGCACAAGCAGCGGAGCGUGUGGUUUAAUUCGAUCUACACGAAGAACCUCACCCAGACUUGACAUGGUGCGAAUCCUGCUGAAAGGUGGGAGUGCCGUAAGGAGCGCACACACAGGUGUUGCAUGGCUGUCGUCAGCUCGUGUCGUGAGAUGUUCGUUUAAGUACGCUAACGAGCGCAACCCUCAUUGCUAGUUACAAGUGUCUAGCGAGACUGCCGGCCACAAGCCGGAGGAAGGCGGGGAUGACGUCAAGUCAGCAUGGCCUUUAUGUCUGGGGCCACACACACGCUACAAUGGGACGGUACAAUGGGAAGCCAAGCCGUGAGGCGGAGCAAAUCCUCCAAAACGUCCCUCAGUUCAGAUUGCAGGCUGCAACCCGCCUGCAUGAAGUCGGAGUUGCUAGUAAACGCGCGUCAGCCAUAGUGCGUUGAAUACGUUCCCGGGUCUUGUACACACCGCCCGUCACACUAUGGGAGUUGGUAAUACCUAAAGCCGGUUGGGUAACCGCAAGGAGCCCGCCGUCCAAGGUAGAAUUGAUGACUGGAGUGAAGUCGUAACAAGGUA